GACGAACGCUGGCGGCGUGCUUAACACAUGCAAGUCGAACGAAGAGCGAUGGAAGCUUGCUUCUAUCAAUCUUAGUGGCGAACGGGUGAGUAACGCGUAAUCAACCUGCCCUUCAGAGGGGGACAACAGUUGGAAACGACUGCUAAUACCGCAUACGAUCUAAUCUCGGCAUCGAGGAUAGAUGAAAGGUGGCCUCUACAUGUAAGCUAUCACUGAAGGAGGGGAUUGCGUCUGAUUAGCUAGUUGGAGGGGUAACGGCCCACCAAGGCGAUGAUCAGUAGCCGGUCUGAGAGUAUGAACGGCCACAUUGGGACUGAGACACGGCCCAGACUCCUACGGGAGGCAGCAGUGGGGAAUCUUCCGCAAUGGACGAAAGUCUGACGGAGCAACGCCGCGUGAGCGAUGACGGCCUUCGGGUUGUAAAGCUCUGUUAAUCGGGACGAAAGGCCUUCUUGCGAAUAGUGAGAAGGAUUGACGGUACCGGAAUAGAAAGCCACGGCUAACUACGUG
rnacentral:rRNA from 1 species